rnacentral:rRNA from 1 species
AGUGAACGCUGGCGGCGUGCCUAAUACAUGCAAGUCGAACGGAGUGGCGCACGGGUGAGUAAUGUAUAGCUAAGCUGCCCUACACUAGAGGACAACAGUUGGAAACGGCUGCUAAUACUCCAUAGUGUAGGAUGAGGCUAUAUUGUAUCAGCUAGUUGGUGAGGUAAUGGCUCAACAAGGCUAUGACGCAUAACUGGUCUGAGAGGAUGAGCAGUCACACUGGAACUGAGACACGGUCCAGACUCCUACGGGAGGCAGCAGUAGGGAGUAUUGCUCAAUGGGGGAAACCCUGAAGCAGCAACGCCGCGUGGAGGAUGACACUUUUCGGAGCGUAAACUCCUUUUGUUAGGGAAGCGGUACCGGAAUAGAAAGCCACGGCUAACUACGUGCCAGCAGCCGCGGUAAUAC